ensembl:lncRNA
CCCGAAUAUGUAAUGAGAGCUACGCUACCCCGGAAGUAGAUUCUUUCUUCUUUUAGUCUGACUUGAGCAUUCAGUUGACAGUUUGAGUCGAUCCAUGAGAAGAGAUGCGCUUCUAUACAGGACAGAGAGUCUGAUCCUUCACUAGGUUUUCUCACCAAUACAUUAAAUAUCGACAUGAAAUAAAAACCGACCACUUCCGGAAAGAACACAAGGACAGCUCGCGCUGCACCCUUAACCGUAAUUUAAGGAUUUGAUUACACUCGCGCUCGCGUUGCAUCCUUUUUUACUUUUCAGAAAAUAUAUUCUUGUUGAAGCAGUUUUAGUAGCUAUUUCUAUUGGCAGCAAGUUUAAAAAGCAAAUACUAUAAACUGAUAGUGUGAGUGUGUGCGAUGGACUGGCAUCCGCCUUGUGCCUGAUGCUCCCCGUGACCCUGAAAGGACCGUGUAGUAGUACCGUGUCACAUUUAAUUAUCACUAAAACAGUGUGCAAUUAUUGUGAUUUAUAAAACUCUCGGUAAAUGCUGUCCACAUUCUCCCAGCAUGAGUCUGAUGCAAAUCUGAAGUGUGGUCAUAUAUUGGAUUUUACAAAAAUGCCAAGGGAAAUUUAAUAGAAGAUGGUAACCCUGUCUGCACAGCUUGUCAGAAGAAAGUUGCUGUGAAAGGGCGCUUUCUAGGAUGAGACUUCAGCAGUGCUGUGAAAUAAUUCUGAAU